rnacentral:rRNA from 1 species
AUUGAACGCUGGCGGCAUGCUUUACACAUGCAAGUCGAACGGCAGCGGGGGCUUCGGCCCGCCGGCGAGUGGCGAACGGGUGAGUAAUGCAUCGGAACGUGCCCAGUCAUGGGGGAUAACUACGCAAAAGCGUAGCUAAUACCGCAUACGCCCUGAGGGGGAAAGUGGGGGAUCGCAAGACCUCACGUGAUUGGAGCGGCCGAUGUCAGAUUAGCUAGUUGGUGAGGUAAAGGCUCACCAAGGCGACGGUCUGUAGCGGGUCUGAGAGGAUGAUCCGCCACACUGGGACUGAGACACGGCCCAGACUCCUACGGGAGGCAGCAGUGGGGAAUUUUGGACAAUGGGCGAAAGCCUGAUCCAGCCAUGCCGCGUGAGUGAAGAAGGCCUUCGGGUUGUAAAGCUCUUUCGGACGGAAAGAAAUCGCGCGGGCUAAUAUCCCGCGUGGAUGACGGUACCGUAAGAAGAAGCACCGGCUAACUACGUGCCAGCCGCCGCCGUAAUAC